GUUGCUUUACACGGUAUCUUUAUGUUAGUAAAACUAAAGUAAAACUCAGGCUUCCUCAAUCAACCAUUCACUUGUGCUUUUACACUCUAGAGAGAAUCUCUUAUGUUCACCUGUCCAUAUUUAAGAGAUGAACUUUUGCUGGGUCCUGCUGUACUUGGUUUUUCCAGAUCGGCUUAGCUAGUCCAGCAAGGACUUCACAUCACCUUCACAUAACCUAACCUAACUUAACUCUCCCACUUUUCAACUGGGAAGGACCUUUCACGAGGAAAUGCCUCAUGAUUUGUUUAUAAAUAUUCUACCUUCAGCAACAGUGCAGUUAGAGGAGCUUAUUUGUGCAUUUCUCUUAUACAGAAGAAGAUAAAUGUGUUACCUUUCAACAGAUCUUGGAUCUUGGCUCCACUUUGAGUAAAGGAGUGUCCCUAACAUCUGUUAUCUGUGCAGGACUUGGCAGAGCUCGGAUUAUCUGUAAAGCUGCGAGCCCUUCAGCAGAUGGCUGCGCACCGACCAACUUUAAAAUUCAUCCUCCCGUCCAUUUAGAUGAAUUUGCAUCGCCGUGCCAGCACCCCGAAAAUUAUUUAUGCCUCUGGUCUUCACUGCUCGGGACUGCAGCAGUUCGUGCUGUCAUCUGGGCUUUUCCCGUGAAAAGGCUAAAGGGACCCCACAAGAUUAGCAAGCGGCUUCGUCUUUUUCUGUCUGCUUUUCGGGACUUCGGUAACACGAUCUCCAUAUAAGAAGGAAAUUUAA
rnacentral:lncRNA from 1 species